GAUGAACGCUGGCGGCGUGCCUAAUACAUGCAAGUCGAACGAAACUUCUUUAUCACCGAGUGCUUGCACUCACCGAUAAAGAGUUGAGUGGCGAACGGGUGAGUAACACGUGGGCAACCUGCCCAAAAGAGGGGGAUAACACUUGGAAACAGGUGCUAAUACCGCAUAACCAUAGUUACCGCAUGGUAACUAUGUAAAAGGUGGCUAUACUACCGCUUUUGGAUGGGCCCGCGGCGCAUUAGCUAGUUGGUAGGGUAAAGGCUUACCAAGGCAAUGAUGCGUAGCCGAAUUGAGAGGUUGAUCGGCCACAUUGGGAUUGAGACACGGCCCAAACUCCUACGGGAGGCAGCAGUAGGGAAUCUUCCACAAUGGGCGAAAGCCUGAUGGAGCAACGCAGCGUGGGUGAAGAAGGUCUUCGGAUCGUAAAACCCUGUUGUUAGAGAAGAAAGUGCGUGAGAGUAACUGUUCACGUUUCGACGGUAUCUAACCAGAAAGCCACGGCUAACUACGUG
rnacentral:rRNA from 1 species